rnacentral:rRNA from 1 species
UACGCUGGCGGCACGCCUAACACAUGCAAGUCGAACGAAGUAGCAAUACUUAGUGGCAGACGGGUGAGUAACAUGUAGGUAUCUACCCUUUGGCCUGGAAUAACACGAGGAAACUUGUGCUAAUACCAGAUAAGUCUUUACGGAGAAAGCUUUAUGCACCAUUGGAUGAGCCUGCACUUGAUUAGUUUGUUGGUAGGGUAAUGGCCUACCAAGACUUUGAUCAAUAGCUGAUUUGAGAGGAUGAUCAGCCACAUUGGGACUGAGACACGGCCCAAACUCCUACGGGAGGCAGCAGUGGGGAAUCUUGCACAAUGGAGGAAACUCUGAUGCAGCGAUGCCGCGUGAGUGAAGAAGGCCCUUGGGUUGUAAAGCUCUUUCGUCGGGGAAGAAAAUGACUGUACCCGAAUAAGAAGGUCCGGCUAA